rnacentral:rRNA from 1 species
CCUACGGGAGGCAGCAGUAAGGAAUAUUGGUCAAUGGACGCAAGUCUGAACCAGCCAUGCCGCGUGGAGGAUGAAGGUCUCUGGAUUGUAAACUUCUUUUCUCUGGGACGAAACCCCCGAUUUCCAUCGGGCCUGACGGUACCAGAGGAAUAAGCACCGGCUAACUCCGUGCCAGCAGCCGCGGUAAUACGGAGGGUGCAAGCGUUAUCCGGAUUCACUGGGUUUAAAGGGUGCGUAGGCGGGUUUGUAAGUCAGUGGUGAAAUCCCCGAGCUUAACUUGGGAACUGCCAUUGAUACUGCAAGUCUUGAAUUUUCUGGAGGUAAGCGGAAUAUGUCAUGUAGCGGUGAAAUGCUUAGAUAUGACAUAGAACACCCAUUGCGAAGGCAGCUUACUACGGGAAUAUUGACGCUGAGGCACGAAAGCGUGGGGAUCAAACAGGAUUAGAUACCCUGGUAGUCCACGCCCUAAACGAUGAUCACUCGACAUUAGCGAUAUUACGGUUAGUGUCUAAGCGAAAGCAUUAAGUAAUCCACCUGGGAAGUACGACCGCAAGGUUGAAACUCAAAUGAAUUGACGG